CACAAGCGGUGGAGUAUGUGGUUAAUUCGACGCAACGCGAAGAACCUUACCAGGACUUGACAUCCUCUGACGACUGUAGAGAUACAGUUCUCCGCCUUCGGGUGGACAGAGAGACAGGUGGUGCAUGGUUGUCGUCAGCUCGUGUCGUGAGAUGUUGGGUUAAGUCCCGCAACGAGCGCAACCCUGUUUUAGUUGCCAGCAGGUAAGGCUGGGCACUCUAGAGAUACUGCCGGUGACAAACCGGAGGAAGGUGGGGAUGACGUCAAAUCAUCAUGCCCUUUAUGUCCUGGGCUACACACGUACUACAAUGGCCUGUACAAAGGGUAGCGAAGCCGCGAGGUGAAGCCAAUCCCAAAAAGCAGGUCUCAGUUCGGAUUGUAGGCUGCAACUCGCCUACAUGAAGUCGGAAUCGCUAGUAAUCGCGGAUCAGCAUGCCGCGGUGAAUACGUUCCCGGGCCUU
rnacentral:rRNA from 1 species